AGGUUAAGCUAAUAAGAGCACACGGAGGAUGCCUAGGCGCCAGGAGCCGACGAAGGACGUGGCGAACAACGAAACUGCCUCGGGGAGCUGUAAGCAAGCUUUGAUCCGGGGGUGUCCGAAUGGGGAAACCCAGCUGUGGUAAUUCGCAGUUACUCAUACCUGAAUACAUAGGGUGUGUAGAGGCAGACCAGGGGAACUGAAACAUCUAAGUACCCUGAGGAAGAGAAAACAAUAGUGAUUCCGUCAGUAGCGGCGAGCGAACGCGGAACAGCCUAAACCUAAGAGCUUGCUCUUAGGGGUUGUGGGACGUCUCACAUGGAGUUACAAAGGAAUAUGGUAGGUGAAGAGGUCUGGAAAGGCCCGCGAUAGAGGUAAAAGCCCUGUAACCUAAACUGUAUUCUCUCCGAGACGGAUCCCGAGUAGUGCGGGGCACGUGAAACCCCGUAUGAAUCCAGCAGGACCAUCUGCUAAGGCUAAAUACUACCUGGCGACCGAUAGUGAAACAGUACCGUGAGGGAAAGGUGAAAAGCACCCCGGAAGGGGAGUGAAAUAGAACCUGAAACCGUGUGCUUACAAAAAGUCAGAGCCCUAUUAAUGGGUGAUGGCGUGCCUUUUGUAGAAUGAACCGGCGAGUUACGUUUAACAUGCAAGGUUAAGCCGAGAAGGUGGAGCCGCAGCGAAAGCGAGUCUGAAUAGGGCGACUUAGUAUGUGGACGUAGACCCGAAACCGUGUGAUCUACCCCUGUCCAGGGUGAAGGUGCGGUAACACGCACUGGAGGCCCGAACCCACGUACGUUGAAAAGUGCGGGGAUGAGGUGGGGGUAGCGGAGAAAUUCCAAUCGAACUCGGAGAUAGCUGGUUCUCCCCGAAAUAGCUUUAGGGCUAGCCUCGGUAUAAGAGUAGUGGAGGUAGAGCACUGAUUGGGUGCGGGGUCCGCAAGGAUUACCAAGCUCAGUCAAACUCCGAAUGCCAUAUACUUAUUGCCGGGAGUCAGACAGUGAGUGCUAAGAUCCAUUGUCAAAAGGGAAACAGCCCAGACCAUCAGCUAAGGUCCCCAAGUGUGUGUUAAGUGGGAAAGGAUGUGGAGUUGCACAGACAACCAGGAUGUUGGCUUAGAAGCAGCCACCAUUGAAAGAGUGCGUAAUAGCUCACUGGUCGAGUGACUCUGCGCCGAAAAUGUAACGGGGCUAAACACACCACCGAAGCUAUGGCUAGAUACGUAUGUAUCUGGGGUAGGGGAGCGUUGUGUAGGGGUUGAAGGUGUACUGAAAAGAGCGCUGGACACUACACAAGUGAGAAUGCCGGUAUGAGUAACGAAAAGAUCAGUGAGAAUCUGAUCCGCCGAAAGCCCAAGGUUUCCUGAGGAAGGCUCGUCCGCUCAGGGUAAGUCGGGACCUAAGGCGAGGCCGAAAGGCGUAGUCGAAGGACAACAGUUUGAAAUUACUGUACCACCGUAAUCCGCUAUGAGCGAUGGGGUGACGCAGGAGGGUAGUGACGCGGACUGAUGGAUGUCCGUCUAAGCAGUGAGGCUGAUGUGUAGGCAAAUCCGCACAUCAUUAAGGCUGGGCUGUGAUGGGGAGCGAAAAUUGUAGUAGCGAAGGUCAUGAUCUCACACUGCCAAGAAAAGCCUCUAGCCAGGAGAAGGUGCCCGUACC
rnacentral:rRNA from 1 species